GCGAAUGGUGGAUGCCUUGACUGGUAAAGGCGAUGAAGGACGUACUAGACUGCGAUAAGCUACGGGGAGCUGUCAAGAAGCUUUGAUCCGUAGAUUUCCGAAUGGGGCAACCCAAUGUAUAGAGAUAUACAUUACCUAUAUAGGAGCGAACGAGGGGAAUUGAAACAUCUUAGUACCCUCAGGAAAAGAAAUCAAUAGAGAUUGCGUCAGUAGCGGCGAGCGAAAGCGCAAGAGGGCAAACCCAGUGCUUGCACUGGGGGUUGUAGGACUGCAAUGUGCAAGAGCUGAGUUUAGCAGAACAUUCUGGAAAGUAUAGCCAUAGAGGGUGAUAGUCCCGUAUGCGAAAAACAAAGCUUAGCUAGCAGUAUCCUGAGUAGGGCGGGACACGAGGAAUCCUGUCUGAAUCCGGGUCGACCACGAUCCAACCCUAAAUACUAAUACCAGAUCGAUAGUGCACAAGUACCGUGAGGGAAAGGUGAAAAGAACUGAGGUGAUCAGAGUGAAAUAGAACCUGAAACCAUUUGCUUACAAUCAUUCAGAGCACUAUGUAGCAAUACAGUGUGAUGGACUGCCUUUUGCAUAAUGAGCCUGCGAGUUGUGGUGUCUGGCAAGGUUAAGCAAACGCGAAGCCGUAGCGAAAGCGAGUCUGAAUAGGGCGCUUAGUCAGAUGCUGCAGACCCGAAACGAAGUGAUCUAUCCAUGAGCAAGUUGAAGCUAGUGUAAGAACUAGUGGAGGACUGAACCCAUAGGCGUUGAAAAGCCCCGGGAUGACUUGUGGAUAGGGGUGAAAGGCCAAUCAAACUUCGUGAUAGCUGGUUCUCUCCGAAAUAUAUUUAGGUAUAGCGUUGUGUCGUAAUAUAAGGGGGUAGAGCACUGAAUGGGCUAGGGCAUACACCAAUGUACCAAACCCUAUCAAACUCCGAAUACCUUAUAUGUAAUCACAGCAGUCAGGCGGCGAGUGAUAAAAUCCGUCGUCAAGAGGGAAACAACCCAGACUACCAGCUAAGGUCCCUAAAUCUUACUUAAGUGGAAAACGAUGUGAAGUUACUUAAACAACCAGGAGGUUGGCUUAGAAGCAGCCAUCCUUUAAAGAAAGCGUAAUAGCUCACUGGUCUAGUGAUUUUGCGCGGAAAAUAUAACGGGGCUAAAGU
rnacentral:rRNA from 1 species